rnacentral:rRNA from 1 species
UACGAGGGGGGCGAGCGUUGUUUGGAAUUAUUGGGCGUAAAGGGUGCGUAGGCGGCCUGACAAGUCUGAUGUGAAAUCCCUGGGCUCAACCCAGGGCCUGCAUCGGAAACUGUCGGGCUUGAGUAUGGGAGAGGUGAGUGGAAUUUCCGGUGUAGCGGUGAAAUGCGUAGAUAUCGGAAGGAACACCUGUGGCGAAAGCGGCUCACUGGACCAUUACUGACGCUGAGGCACGAAAGCUAGGGGAGCAAACAGG